GGGCGCAAGCCUGAUGCAGCCAUGCCGCGUGUGUGAAGAAGGCCUUCGGGUUGUAAAGCACUUUCAGCGGGGAGGAAGGCGUUAAGGUUAAUAACCUUGGCGAUUGACGUUACCCGCAGAAGAAGCACCGGCUAACUCCGUGCCAGCAGCCGCGGUAAUACGGAGGGNNCAAGCGUUAAUCGGAAUUACUGGGCGUAAAGCGCACGCAGGCGGUCUGUCAAGUCGGAUGUGAAAUCCCCGGGCUCAACCUGGGAACUGCAUUCGAAACUGGCAGGCUAGAGUCUUGUAGAGGGGGGUAGAAUUCCAGGUGUAGCGGUGAAAUGCGUAGAGAUCUGGAGGAAUACC
rnacentral:rRNA from 1 species